rnacentral:rRNA from 1 species
AGAACGAACGUUGGCGGCGUGGAUUAGGCAUGCAAGUCGAACGCGAACCUUGGGGGUAACUCUGAGGGGAGAGUGGCGAAAGGGGGCAGUAAGGCGUGGGUAACGUACCCUCCGGACCGGGAUAGCCGCGGGAAACUGCGGGUAAUACCGGGCGACGCAAGCUAGGGGCAUCUCCGGCUUGCCAAAGGUCCGCCGCCGGGGGAGCGGCUCACGUGGUAUUACCUAGUUGGCGGGGUAACGGCCCACCGAAGGGGAAGAUGCCUAGCGGGUGUGAGAGCACGACCCGCGCCACUGGCACUGAGACACUGGCCAGUACUCCGUACGGGAGGCUGCAGUCGAGGAUCUUCGGCAAGUGGCGCAAGCCUGGACCGAGCGACGCCGCGUGUGCGAUGAACGGUCGUUCGGUGUAAGGCACGUGGUCGGGAGGGGGAAGGAAACGG